rnacentral:lncRNA from 1 species
AGGAUGCAGAUUACUAGGAUUGAUAUGACUGUAAGAUAUUCAUAAAACAAUGUACAACAAAGCACUGUACGGCUGUGUCAAAUGUCGAACAAACGUUGGUCGUAUUGUGAUGGCAUUGUAAAUUUGGAGAUACAACAACUUCAACUUCAAAUGAUGCACAUAUUUGCUAAGAUCACGGUAAUCUGUUAGUAGGCCUCCAAUGUUAGGUGCAGGCGCAAUUGAUUGACAGGGCCCAGUUUUAAACAGAAAAAGGGUAGGAAACUUAUGUAUUCCGUGUUUUUAUGUUGGAUUAGGUUGGGAGAGACAAGGCUCUCUAAUUCCUAGAGGAUUAUUUUGGUUAUUAGCAGUUUAUUAUUCCUAUUGCAGCAACUCUAAUUUCCCUCUGUUCUGUAACUGCUACUGCUAGUAGUUACUGCAUAAUUGUUCUAUCAAUAAUAUUCAGGUUAUCAUUCUAUCCAUUAGUCUCUUAAAUACCAAAGAUCAAGCAUAACAUGAAGAAGCAUUAACUGAUGAUAGGCCCAUUAAUAGGGCCAACUUAGGAGGAAAGGAAAAAGAAGCAGAGAUGGGGACAAGAACAGAACAAAUGGGCCCAAGACUCACACAAAGGCUGCCGAGUAAGGAAAACAGGACAGAGGGAACAUACAUAACAUUGUUGAUAUAUGGCCCAAGGAGAGUAGAAGAAAAUAUUAAGGAAGGAAUGGAGAAUGAUUUAAGGAUGGAGCGUAGCCACGAAGGGGUGUGAAGAAAAUUCAGGUGCUUGAUGGAAGGUUGGGAAUGAGAAGAGCUAUUCUCUCUCAGUUAUUAGCAUAUUUCAUUGUCAUCCUGCAAGGAAUGUCUCCAUUCCAUAGCAUUGUGGUUGGUUUCUUCCUUACUCAUACAUAUUUCAGAUUGUAAUGGAAUUUAUCCCCUGUUUAGAGUGAAUUUCAAUACUGUUUCUGUUCAUCCCCUACAUUGAUUAAUGUUAUUCACUUCUUUCAUAACAUUUUCGUACUUAUAUGUCUGGCUCUGGCAUAUUGAAAUGCCUUUUCUAUCUAGAAAUACAGAAAAAGAAUUCCUGGAACUUUUCAAUUUUAUUCCACAUAAUGUCUAGUUAAUCUUGUUUUCCAUAUCCUCGGAUAACUAGCCAGUGUCUACUUCUAGAUAAUUCCCCUCAUGUCAAUCAAUAUCUUACGUAACAGAAUACAAAGGGGAAUGGAAUCCGUCGUUAAUAGUCACAUUAAACGACACCAUUAUAGGCUAUUAGAAAAUGAAUCAUCAUAUAGAUACUCCAAAAUGAGUUACUUACUUUUUUCUGCCUCCUCUACCGCCUUCUUUUCCAGAUUUUGUAUUUCCAUCAGGACUUGAAGUAGGCGCUCCAGUUAUUGCAGCAUUUUCUCUUUCUGCGAGAAAUAUGAAAAAUAUUAGGCUUUGUUCAAACAGAUGAGGGAUUCAGUUGUCACC